rnacentral:tRNA from 1 species
GCUUUCGUGGUGUAACGGUAGCACACUCGGCGCGUAUUCCAGAGGUGCAGGUUCGAGUCCCGGCGAGGGCA